UACGUAGGGUGCAAGCGUUGUCCGGAAUUAUUGGGCGUAAAGAGCUCGUAGGCGGUUUGUUGCGUCGGCUGUGAAAUCCCCGAGGCUCAACCUCGGGUCUGCAGUCGAUACGAGCAAACUAGAGUGUUGCAGGGGAGACUGGAAUUCCUGGUGUAGCGGUGAAAUGCGCAGAUAUCAGGAGGAACACCGGUGGCGAAGGCGGGUCUCUGGGCAAUAACUGACGCUGGAGGAAGCGAAAGCCGUGGGGAGCGAACAGG
rnacentral:rRNA from 1 species